rnacentral:lncRNA from 1 species
AGAAACAGCGGCUUAUAUGGCAUUGCUAGUUUGAAACAAGAUGAGUCUGCUAGGCAGGUAGAGUUGAAUUUUAAGUACAGACAGCUUUUGUGGGAAUUCUAUUCCAUGGAUCCCAAGAUGUCUUCCUCCAAUCCAAGCUCAGUUAUACUUUGUGAUUUAUGUUAACAAAACAUGUUAAUAUUUACUUUUAUAUGGAAAUAUAUUUAAAAACAGAACAGAACAAAACCAGAAACAUUUCACCAGAACAAUAUAUGACCGUGUGUAUAACUCCAGUGUGAACUUGUGAAGAACAGCUCAACUUGCCAGCCUGGCUAGCAUUAUCUGUUUAUGCAGUAUUUCCUGAACCUUCUCAUCCCAGUGAUGUAAGGGUGAGGAGUGGAGACGUGGGAAAAUGGUGAAUUCACUCGGCCUUCCUUUCUGGCUAGAAGAAAUCCACUUCUUGAAAAGCAGGUUAUCACAAAGAUAGCAGCUAUGUCCAUUUCUCACCUUAAGACAAAAUGGUUCUUGUCAU